rnacentral:rRNA from 1 species
AUGGCGUCCCUCGCCGCCUUCCACCCUAACCUCCCCCACGCCCACGGCCACCCCUCCCAUCCCAACCCCACCAGCGGCCUCCUCCGUCUCCUGCCUUCAUGCCGCCGCCAUCGUGCCCCUCGCCGGCGGGGCCUAGGCCUCGCCGUCUCCGCCUGCGCCUCCUCCGCCGCGUCACCGUCUGCCGCCGGGCGAGGCGAUCGCUCCGAAGCAGCCUCUUCGCUCGAGCGUUGCCUCGCGGCGUCCGCCCUCAGCGCCGCGGCACCCGCGGCUGCGCCUCCCCGCGUACCGCCGGCGAUGAAGGGCGGGAAGCAGUACGGCGCGUUCGGCGCCGUCACGCUCGAGAAGGCCAAGCUUGACCUAUCCCAACGCAAGAAGAAAAUCAUGCCCGAGCUGGCGACAGGUGGUGGUGGUGGAGAUAUUGGGAAGAGAAUUGGCCAUGGUGGUGGUGAUGGCGGGGAUGAUGACGGAGAUGAUGAUGAUUACUUUGAUGAUUCUGAUGAUGGAGAGGAAGAAGAUGGUGGACUUUUCAGGAGACGAAUUGUUAUACAGGAGCUUUUUAAUAGAGAGUUUAUAGAUGCUGUAAUGCAAGAGUGGUGCAAAACAAUGAUUAGUUUACCUGCUGGUCUCCGUCAGGCUUAUGAGAUGGGUUUGGUAAGUUCUGCUCAGAUGGUGCGAUUCUUGUCAGUGUUUUCAAGACCUACACACACUAGGUCUUUUUCACGAGCUCUACCUGGAUGGCUAUCCCGAGGUCUUGUUGGAAGAACACUUGCAGAUCCUUCAUUCCCACAUAAGAUGGCUUUCGAGUUCUUGGCUACUUUUGCCUCAUCUGUUUGGUGGGAGAUGAAUAUUCGUAAGGAGAGGUUUGAGCAAGAAUGGGAUUUGGCCGUUGUCAAUGCUUUGACUGCAUCGUGUUGCAACCUUGUGGUUCUGGGGCUUCUGGCACCAUGCCGUUCAUAUGGGAGUACAUCCCGAUUUGACUUCCAAAAUGCCAUUGAGAAACUUCCUAACAACAUAUUUGAGAAGAGUUAUCCUUUGAGAGAGUUUGAUCUGCAGAAACGAAUUAGUGCAUUCCUUUACAAGGCUGCUGAGCUUAGCCUGGUCGGGGUAGUUGCUGGAUCUAUUCAGGGUGGUAUGUCGAAAGCCCUAUCCGCAAGGAAGGAUGGCAGGUUAUCGGUGACCCUUCCUAAUGUCAGCGCCAAUGCCCUUGGUUAUGGAGCUUUUCUAGGAUUAUAUGCAAACUUGCGAUAUCAAUUAUUGUGUGGACUAGAUCAAUAUAUGAUCAAGCGCUUUGAUGUUCUUGGCAUGUCAAUCUUCAUUGGUACAACACUAAGAUUCAUGAAUAUUCAGAUAGGUGAAUCGUCAAGGCGCGCAUGGCUUGGAGAGGAAGCUGAUCCACAGUACUCUGAUCGAUUACUUAGGGCAUACACCAGACCAGUGGAGGUUACUACUGCUGCGGAUCAACAAGAAGAGUCAAGGUGGUUUAUAUCCAAGGAUGCAGUUGUGUCAGGCCUUGGCCUUCUUGGCAUCAAGCAGGGUGGGCCUGAGGCGCAGCUGUCCAAGCCCCGGCGAAAGAGAGUAAUCCGCAAGAAAGUUGCAUCAGGUUGA